CGCUGACUGAUAAGUCUUAGAACAAAUGUUAGAAACCACAUUUUUUUGGCCCAAUGCAUGAUUUUGUUCCUCUAGUUGUCCUCUAGGAGAACUGGUUAGUUCAGUUAUCUUGAUGUAACUCAAAUAACAAAGAGUAACACAAAACUUUAAGAUAACUAAGAUUAGUCUCGAUCAUCUUAAGGGGUUGAAUAUGAGAAUCUAAGACUAUAGUAGCAAAAGAGAAAUUAUGUCUUCUUUUUGUGAUCAAUAUCAUCUUUUGUCUUGUACCUCUUCAUGGUACUUGCAGAACUUGUUUGUGUAUGUGGCCAGGAUUUAUGUACUGACACCAAUCCCGUGCUAGUUGCGAUAAUCUAUUAUGCUUAACAUAAUUGGUUAUAAUGGGUCCAUAGAGGGAGGAAGGCGAGUGGAUGUGUGUGUACAUAACUACAUAUCUUUGUUAGCAAAUAAAUAUCUAAUUCUGAUUACCAUAUAUAGUGGCAAUUAUGUCUUUAAGAUAUGUAUUAUAUGGAAUAUGCUAACCAUUCAAAGCCUAAAUCAAUACAAGGUGAUGUUCCUGAAUAGAAAAUAUUACUAAUGAGGAAUGAGUAAUAUUAUGACAAAACCACACUUUGAAGAUUUUGUUGCAGGUAGAGCCUAGAACAAAGCUUAAAUGACAUACUUUGCUGCUGGGAGCAGCUUCAAGGCAUGAACAGGCUAAAAUGUUGACACAAUGAUACUCACCAAACAUGAAAAUUCUCUUUGUUAUUUAUUGCUUGGUUAAUAUAGUGGAUAGGCUAAUUAAUGUCCACUAGCAGAGUGUUCCUUUCAUCAUAAGCAUGUGAAAAAAAAUGAGUUUCAUCUAGAUUCGAGGAUAGAUUUAAGAGCAUUUUAUUAUGUUACAUAUCCAAAACCAUGUGGAAAACUUUGGAAUUACUCCUAGAGGUGGGUGAUGAUGUACCAUCUUGCAUUAUAGGCCACAUGAUGUGAACUGUAUGAGUUGCCACAAACUUUUUACCCAAAUUGUUGAUAUUGUCAACCGAGCCCAUUGGAUUAUCAUGAUCCCCUUGUGCUUAUAGGAUUGUGAGACUUUCCUGCAGAUGAUGCGGGAUUCUGUAGGUGUGGCAAGCCACCAUACUGAUGCCUUCAUCCUUGAUGCCUAACUCCUCUCCUGGAUAUUUUUGACUAAUCACAUUGCUAGGGAAGUAAAUGCUAUCUGCGAUGUAUAUGCAUUAUAUGUCUAUUCUCGAUGGAACUU
rnacentral:lncRNA from 1 species